ensembl:lncRNA
CAGCCUGCAGGUCGCAAUCUGCUCCCUGUUACUUCCAUGUUUAUUUUCGGCAACUUGGUUGACUUCAGGGGAACUGACUCGCACGUCUGUAAGUUGAGGGAGGCAAUAGCUCUUUUGCCGCAGUUCCUUGCCCUCUCUCAUGCCCGUUGAUGUAACCUUACACGGUGGCUUUGUCGAUAGUGACAAUCGCGUCGGGUCUCCCUCCCGUUUGCUCUCACUGCGGCUGCAGUUGUGCCGCUCCACCGCCAGGCGGCGCCCUCGCAGCGCAGCCCGGUUUCACAGCUCCGUCCUCCAUCCCCCGGACUGACGAUGGCCACAGCACGUCUUCAUAUUGAUAUGGCCAUUAAAUAUUAAGCAGCUGGAAAAAACAAGCAGAACACAAAGAAGGAAGAAUUGACAUCUAAGGAAGUUGGUGUAUCAUAAGGUCUUUUCCUUCCACUGGGACAUUCACACAGUUAAAUACUGGGUUAUUAGUGCAGCAAGUCCAGCUUGAAUUGCAUGUUUGUUUUACUCGCUGUGAUAACUGUGUUUGGUAACAGCGGCCAGGAGAGCAAAAGGAAAUGUAUGUAACAACCUCUGUAAUGAGCACUGUGCCCCAAGCUGGAUAUUCUUUACUAAUGGAUUUAGAGAUCUGUUAGCAUGCACAAAUCAGGGAAGAGCUGGUUGUCCUGUGACUCAGACUUCACCUUUGCAGACAGGGAUUUCCAGGUUUGCACAGUCUAAAUGGUACUCGGCAGUUUCCAUCAGAUUCCUUUGACAAGGAAGGUACCUCAGUGCUGGAGCUGGAGCAGAGUGUGGGGAGUUAAAGCAAGGUUUGUGAGCAGCAAGACUUUGGCUGCCAAAUUAAGAGUGAGAAGAGAAUUUCUGAGCAGCUUAUGAAAAUUGACCUCUGGGCCUGCUAUGUUCUGCAGGACCACUGUACCAGCUAUUUCCAGUUGAAAGCAAGUAUCAUUUAUGCCCACUGUAGCAUUGAUUGCGUUCACUUCAGGAGAAGUUCAGUUUCCUGGAUUGAAUCGUAACCAGUGAUGGGAUGUGAUGUCACUACUACAAGCUAGAGUCAAAAUGGCAGAAUGGUGAGAUGUGAGUUCCCCAUCAAAGAAAAAGUUGAAGACACAGCCCUCAGCAGGUGCACUGAUGUGCACUGUCUUUUGGGAUAGGAAAGGGGGGACCCUUUGGGAUUCCCUGGAGCCCAGAUAAACCAUCAGCUCUGACCACUACAUCAUGACAGGGCCUAAGCUGAAGGCCCAAACUUCCAGAGUCAGGCCAGAGAAGACAACCUUUCUCUUGCAACACAACACCAGGCCCCAUGCCAGUUUGAAGACCGUGAAGCACAAUGCCAAUCUCAGCUGGACCGUCCUAUCACAUCCACCAUAUAGUCCAGAUUUGGCACCUUCUGAUGGAUUAACUCUGUGCAGUAAGUUUGGCCUCGGGUCCUUCACAUCUGCCAAGGAAUUUGGAGUUUAUCCUAUCCACAGCCUUAGUAAUAAAGUCCACUGUGUUUAGUGUGCUUUCUUUGAAAAUUAUAACUGUGUAAGAGAAGCAGAUACAGCUUCAGUCUGUAAGUCCAGUGAUGCAUGAUCAGAAUGGUUGUCUUUUGGUUAUGGAGCACAUAUUUCUGACCCAAGCUUUCACCUGGAAGCUUUAUAACCUGAUAUUCUUAUCAGCUUGCAGAAAAUGCAUGUAAAGGAGUGAGUGUUUGCUGUGUUCAGUCUCUUACCACGUCAAGGCCAACUGCAGCACAGCGUGUAUCUUCUUACUGAAGGAUUCAGUAACAAAGCAGCUUUAUAUAUUGACUAAGAAGCCAGAUGAAGAGUGUUUUUCAGCUAUAAUUCUACUAUUGAUGGUCAGUGGUUUUAUGCUCAGCCUGAAAUGUCUGUUUCACAACCUAACUUCCCACGUAUUUCCACCGUUUAGUAGAAUGUGUUCUGUAAUGCAUGACUGCAGAAGACUCCCUAGAUGCAUAGUUAUCAAGAAACUAGCCUGAACUGGAUUUCUCCUCACCACUAGCCAGAGAAGGGGAUUUAACGAUGUCUCUCUCUGCUCUAAUCGGAGUUCUUGUGGUCUUGUAAAAACUGAUCUUUCUAGUCCUGCAGUCUUCCAUCCUCAUGUUAAAGUAAUAGGAGGGCGGCUUGUUGCAUCGUAUAGCUUUAGAACAAAUCUCUUACUUAGAGCUGAGUAGAAAUGUUUACGUUUAACUACAGUUGGUUGUACUUUCUGUAAGAGCUCAAAUGCUUUUGUUCUUUCAUUUGCAAAUGGUUUUAAAAUAAACAGGAAUGGCAAAUUUGUGAUGGAGUUCAUCAGGGAGUGGAUUUUCCUGUGAUAAUUUCACCCAUAUAAAUGAAACAUUCUUCCUACAAAUGAGAAACCAGUAUGUUUGGCCAACAAGGCCUGAAUCUCGUUUGAAGUGUUGGACCAUGAGGUUCCUUUAUGUUGACAUUAAUUGGAUCCAAUUCCCAUUGUUUCCAAAAUGUCUGCAUGGCUCACUGCAGCCCCAAGUGAACUUCACUGAGCUCUCCACUCAGAUAGUAAAUUGUAGUUCUGUGUAGCAAGGGUGCCAUCAGUCCCUGAGGAAUAUAGGCUUACCAGUACAACUCUGUUUUUAUUUCUAUACACACUUGUCCUGCCAAAACACUGCAUCAACAUAGCUGGUGCUGGCUCUGCUGCUGUGUUGCACUGCGCUAUUCGGUGUAUUCCUAAGGCUUAUUCUUAACCAAUGUCUCUUGUGCCAGGAUCUGAAUGCAGUUGAUGUUAGAUCUCUUUACAAUUACUGCCCCACAUCCUGCCCCUUUACUCUUUCCUCGAGUAGGUUUGUCGCUUAUUUCUUCAGGACUGUGCCUACUGUGGAACUGAGGAGUCCGAAUCACCACUGAAUGCACUGGCAGUAAAUAAGCCAUCUUAGUUGUCCUCAUCCAUUUUUGGUUCUUUCAUUAACAUUCCUGACACUUUUUUUUUAGCCCCCACAACUUUCUGUUUCUGUAUCUGCAGAAUACGUUACAUUAUAUGUCUAUUUUCAGUGAGAUGUUCUGAAGACAGAAAUUUUAAGAGAAUCCAAGUUAUUUGUUUUAAUAAGUAUCACGAUGUCCCCAAAUUCUAUCACUUCUCAGGAGAAAUUAAUUGUUCAUUAAUUCAUUCUUAAUGAAAUAGCAUUUGGAAGAGCAGCUCAUAUGUCUGCAUCUCACAUUAAGCAAAUAAUUCAUUUAUGCCAGUACACAGCAGCACUGUGAUGGUAUUGCUAUCUGAUAACUGCACACAGUUAACUCAGGUAAACCAUCAAAAGAUUCCAGAUGAAAAUUUGGUUGCUAAAGCCAUUCACUGCUUCAGUAAGUUGCAUAUUCCACAAACUUUGUGAAGAGUUCAGAAAUAUCUUUAAGGGUAAUAGG